rnacentral:rRNA from 1 species
GGCGGCGUGCUUAACACAUGCAAGUCGAGCGGAAAGGCCCUUCGGGGUACUCGAGCGGCGGACGGGUGAGUAACACGUGAGUAACCUGCCCCGAACUUUGGGAUAACCCUCGGAAACGGGGGCUAAUACCGAAUACGACACGCCUUCGCAUGGGGUGCGUGUGGAAAGUUUUUCGGUUCGGGAUGGACUCGCGGCCUAUCAGCUUGUUGGUGGGGUAAUGGCCUACCAAGGCGACGACGGGUAGCCGGCCUGAGAGGGCGACCGGCCACACUGGGACUGAGACACGGCCCAGACUCCUACGGGAGGCAGCAGUGGGGAAUAUUGCACAAUGGGCGGAAGCCUGAUGCAGCGACGCCGCGUGAGGGAUGACGGCCUUCGGGUCGUAAACCUCUUUCAGCAGGGACGAAGCGCAAGUGACGGUACCUGCAGAAGAAGCGCCGGCCAACUACGUGCCAGCAGCCGCGGUAAGACGUAGGGCGCGAGCGUUGUCCGGAUUUAUUGGGCGUAAAGAGCUCGUAGGCGGCUUGUCGCGUCGAAUGUGAAAUCUCGGGGCUCAACUCCGAGCUUGCAUUCGAUACGGGCAGGCUAGAGUUCGGUAGGGGAGACUGGAAUUCCUGGUGUAGCGGUGAAAUGCGCAGAUAUCAGGAGGAACACCGGUGGCGAAGGCGGGUCUCUGGGCCGAUACUGACGCUGAGGAGCGAAAGCGUGGGGAGCGAACAGGAUUAGAUACCCUGGUAGUCCACGCUGUAAACGUUGGGCGCUAGGUGUGGGGACCCUCUCCGGGUUUCUGCGCCGCAGCUAACGCAUUAAGCACCCCGCCUGGGGAGUACGGCCGC